UGAAUGGUGUCAUUUCACACACUUGUACUUGCAGCAAUACCAGGUACAUCUAUUAGCACGGAUACAAGAAGUUCACAAUCACUUUGACUUAGCACAGAUCCUUAAUUAAUUUACUAAAUGCAGAGAAACUAAACAUCGAUGAUGUUCUCGCCACCUUAUGCGGCAGACACACCACCAUUUUCAGAUCAACUUCAGGUCAAAUAUAGAUGACCAUAUUACAACCAAAAGACCCUACUACAUACCAUGAGUCUAUUUUCAAGUUGCAACACAAUAUUAAUUGGCACCAUCCCCAACCCUUAACACAUCAGCCUAACCUCCAGCAUCCGCAUCAUCAUCGUGACGGCCAUCCAUGUGCCCUUCAGCCUGCAGCGCCACCUCCUCAAUACCUGCACAAUAUCUCAAAUUAUGCACAACGAAAAUGUAGAUAUUCAGAAGCUCGUUACCUAAAUAAGAACAAACAGCGGGCCUUUAUAUUGGGCAACACUCGGCAAAUUGCUUAGAAGAAGCAAGCAGAAUAGCUGUGAUAAAAUACAAUGGCUUAAAACAACGACACACACGAUACAUGGAAAAUCAACCUUCAGGACUACUUUUGGACCAUGGUCCAGUUAGUUAUAUUGACCUCGUAGGCUCAUACACUCACUUUUGCUUGUUUACAAUCAUAAUUUGCAGCGCAAGAGUAAAUACAUAGCAACACAAAAGCCCGCAAUCAUUUAGAAAUGAACCAUAGAAGAACUUAAAAAUCAUAGCAGAAAUGGAUGUUGAGGACUUAACACAUUACCUAGUAAUUUACUAACCUUCCAAAUCAAGUCAAGGAAAAAAACUCAGAGGUCUUAAUUAGUAGCCACAAUCAAUAAACUACUUGCAUUUGGCAUGCACCUUGAAGGAUAGCUGAGAAGUUCAAAACGUUAAACAAUGAUAAAACAUGGUUUCCCUGCCUCUAAUUUAUCUCAAGAAGCUUAUUUCAAAGCAAACAGUUUCUUAGCAAAGGCUAUUUUCUCUAGUUAAGUAGCAAAACAAUUGAGCAAUUUUUGGGUGGGAUAGUACUCCCUUGAGACAUUAGCUCACCCAUUCAGCUAUCCUCACAAUAUACACAGG
rnacentral:lncRNA from 1 species